rnacentral:rRNA from 1 species
GACGAACGCUGGCGGCGUGCUUAACACAUGCAAGUCGAACGGAAAGGCCCUGCUUUUGUGGGGUGCUCGAGUGGCGAACGGGUGAGUAACACGUGAGUAACAUGCCCUUGACUUUGGGAUAACUUCAGGAAACUGGGGCUAAUACCGGAUAGGAGCUCCUGCUGCAUGGUGGGGGUUGGAAAGUUUCGGCGGUUGGGGAUGGACUUGCGGCUUAUCAGCUUGUUGGUGGGGUAGUGGCUUACCAAGGCUUUGACGGGUAGCCGGCCUGAGAGGGUGACCGGCCACAUUGGGACUGAGAUACGGCCCAGACUCCUACGGGAGGCAGCAGUGGGGAAUAUUGCACAAUGGGCGGAAGCCUGAUGCAGCAACGCCGCGUGCGGGAUGACGGCCUUCGGGUUGUAAACCGCUUUCGCCUGUGACGAAGCGUGAGUGACGGUAAUGGGUAAAGAAGCACCGGCUAACUACGUG